AAAGAUUUUUGGUUCUGCAGAAGCCAAUGAUCUGGCACACUGAGACCUUAAUUUCUGGAGUGAACGACUGCAGGAAUCAAAAUACAAUGUUGAUGAGAUAACUACUUCUGGUUAGGCCGGGGAAAUAAAAAGGGUAACCAUAGAUAUAUGGUCUAGCAUCACGAGGUUCAGGUUCCUGCUGUUGAUCAACCGUUGCUUCGGUCGAGCCAAGAUGAGUGCUCUACACUUACGUCUCAUGCUAACUGAAUUGGUGAUGUUUAUUUCUUCACCUCGAUUGACGCCGC